ensembl:lncRNA
CUCCAGGAGUCAAAAUAGCAUGAAAUUUAAUUUUACGCCUAUUUGACAAAGCUAGAUUUCACCUCCAAUCAGCGGGGAGAUAAGAGCCCUCGGUACAAGUGCGCGGCCAGUUUGGCAGCUGGGGCUGCCGAUUUAAUAGGUGAAUUUACAGGAACAACACUUGAAAAUCCCCUGGCUAGUGAACCAUUAAGGUGAGCCCUGCCUUCCGUCCCCGCGUCCCUCCCCGCGCCGCUCUCCCGUUGCUGGGUGCUAAAGCAAACCCCGGCUCUGUUUACCGAGUCUACUAUUACAAUACGGCUACCAAAUAUUUGCCAGCCACCAGCUCGCUGCUCCGCUAUAAAUACUUCAGGCCCAGGUGGAGGGACGGCGAGGGGGAGCGGCGUGGGAGCCUAUGCACGGCCGGGCGGCAGCGCCAAGGGUGAAUCCGGGACCUGGGGUGCCCCUGCGCGCUGACAUGGCUGCGGGCAUCAUCCGGCCCCUGGCAGAGCUGCGGCUGCCCUCGCCCUUCCCACACAGCCUGCUGCUGCCCACACGCCCCGAGCCCGACUUCCCUGACCUCUCCGAGGAGGAGGAAGAGGAGGAAGAGGAAGACGACGAAGAGGAGGUGGCAGAGGAGAGCGUGAGGCCAGAGCUGGCCGUCCCCAGCGCUGCUGAGACCACCCUGCGGCUCCUCAAGUUUUCGGAGCUCAUCAGCUGCGACAUCCAGCGCUACUUCGGGCGGCGGGGCCAGGAGGAAGCCACCGGCAGCCACAGCGUGCCCGAGGACUGCAGCUCGCCCCAGCAUGCCAAGGGCCAGCCCGAGGCUGUGGCACUGCGGGGCGGCCCCGGGGCCACACACAGGCUGGGGCCACUGGCUGAGCUCUUUGAGUAUGGCGUGCACCGGUGCCUGCCACCCCGGGCAGCCGGCGGCAAGACACAGCGGCUGGAGAGGAAAUAUGGCCACAUCACCCCCAUGCACCGGAGGAAGCUGCCGCCCUCCUUCUGGAGGGAGCCAGGCCCUGGCCCCGUUGGCCUCCUCCACACCGGUACCCCCGACUUCAGUGACCUCCUGGCCAACUGGACGGUGGAGCCGGGGCCGGAGCUGCCGGGCACCGGGCGGGAGCUGCCCCCCGAGCCGGGCCACCCAGGGCUGGAGGCCGAGCCCUUCGCCGGGCUGUGACCCCACCAUGGCCCCGGGGGCCCCCCGGCACCGCCACGUGCCAUCCGGUUAAUGAUAAACCCGGUGGCCCCGGUGCCAGCGCCAGCAAUGGGACGAGUGAAUAAAUGACUCCCGCCAGGCA